GAUGAAGAACGUAGCGAAAUGCGAAAAGUAAUGUGAAUUGCAGAAUUCAGUGAACCAUCGAAUCUUUGAACGCACAUUGCGCCCGCUGGAACUCCGGCGGGCACGCCUGUCCGAGCUUCAUUUCAACCCUCAGGCCCCCCUUCGCGGGCGGGCCUGGUGUUGGGGCCCGGCCGCUACCCUGCGGCCGUCCCCUAAAUUCAGUGGCGGCCUCGCCGUGAUCCCUUGCGUAGUAAUGCACCUCGCACCGGAGAGCGCCGUGGCCACGCCGUAAAACCCCCAAUUUUCAAUGGUUGACCUCGGAUCAGGUGGGAAUACCCGCUGAACUUAAGCAUAUCAAUAAGCGGAGGA
rnacentral:misc_RNA from 1 species